rnacentral:rRNA from 1 species
UACAGGGGGUGCAAACGUUGCUCGGAAUCAUUGGGCGUAAAGCGCACGUAGGCGGUCUGUUAUGUCGGAUGUGAAAGCCCUUGGCUCAACUGAGGAAGUGCAUCCGAAACUGGCAGGCUAGAGUACUAAAGAGGGUCGCGGAAUUCCCGGUGUAGAGGUGAAAUUCGUAGAUAUCAGGAGGAACACCGAUGGCGAAGGCAGGUCUCUGGGCCGCAACUGACGCUGAGGAGCGAAAGCAUGGGGAGCGAACAGG